rnacentral:lncRNA from 1 species
UGUGAAGUUGGAUGCAUUAAUAUCAGCAAACUAUUUCUUAAUCUCCUAAGCCUCCGCUCAGAAUCCUCAAGAAGGAAAGAAAGAAAGGGCACAAAUCUCUUAAUUAGGACUCCCAAUCACUUCGAUAAAUAUUUACCUGGUUCCGGCAGGAGGCCUGGAAACCGGCGCCAUUAGUCAAUAGAGGUCAGCAGAGUGUGCCUUGGGGUCGUCGAGCCUAGCAGCAGUUGGGCUAGGCUUCUGAGGAGGUGUGGGGAGAAUGUUUCCAGCCUCGGGCGCCUUAGCCUUUGGUUUCCUUAGUCUGCGGGGCCACCAAGCAAACCAAAGGUCUCGUGUUCCUGAGAGUGUCCUAGCAGGGCGUCUCUGCGCCUGUCUGGACCUGUUCUACUCUCAGCCA